GGGUCUAACUCUACCACAAAAGUUAACUCGAAUGGCGAGGGUUGUCCAUGUAGGGACAUUUAAUACUUAACACACUCCCACUAGGGUAUGCAGAAAUGGUAGCAAGCAAAUAUUUUUUGCAUAAAAACACAGAACAUCAAGAAAAUUAAGAAUGGAGCAUGGAUGUCCAAAAUCUUUGAGCAUGUGGCAAAAUAUAUUUUUUGAUUGAACUAAAAAGUGAAAAUAUACUGACCUUGUUUGUGUCCACAUCAUGCAUAAUUGCAUCAAUGACUUCAUUGUUCACACCAACCUCAUUAGAUAGGGCUUUACGCAACUCCUCGAUUUCAAUAUAACCACUUUGAUCCUCAUCAAAAUAUUGGAAGGCUUUGUGAAGGUGCUCUUCAUUUCCCAUCUUUCUCAUAUGAACGGAAAUGGUUACAAACUCUCCGUAAUCUAGGUACCCAUCAUUAUCUACAUCACCCUGCAUAAGCAACCCCAAACAUCAGAAGUCGAAGGGUAUAUAUGUUAAUCAAUGAGUUAAGAGAAAUUGUACAUCCAUAUGGCAAUUUUUAUUAUGAAGCUUUUCUGUAAAAGGGAGGAAAUGGCAUUUUUUAUGAUGAAGUUUCUUUUAAGGAAGGGAGGAAACGACACUGGGACAAACAAGAAUGUAUGCUAUUGGCGACUCAUUAGUUCAAACAUUACCCAAAAAAACCUUUUAGCAUUUGCGAAAUAAGCAUUGCAGUUAUGCCAACUAAACUUGCCCAAAUUUGCAUUUAGUUUGACAUAUUGCGAAGACAAUACACUGAAAAAACAAAAGACCUCAAAUUUUGAUAACGGUACUCAUUUUCAACCUAUUAAUUCAGACCAAGGGUAAUAAUAAUACUCACAGCUUCCAUAAUAUUAUUGAUAUCUUCAUCAGGAAGUUGAUGGCCUAGUUUCUGCAUCCCUACUAGUAGUUCAUCCAUAUUAAUCUUGCCUCUGUUGCCUAUAUCCAAAAUCUGGAACCUUUGUUUUAAUCCAGCAGCUUCUUCAACUGACAAAUGCUCGGCAAUCACCUGUUAUGAAAUAAUAAUCGUUAAAAAAAUAAUGACUCGUGAAUUAGAAUCAUGCAUUGAUGAAUAUUUCACAAAUGAAUCUUCAACGGAUAUUUGAAUAUUGUUGCGAACAUUACCCUCAAAGCCACUUUCUUAAGCUUGUUCAUUACAGAAAAUUGCUGGAGCCUUGCUCUAACAGAUUCUCCUAAUGAGACAUUAGGAGCUUUGUACGCAUUUUGUAUCCAUGGAUGAUCUGCGUUGCAUUAACAAGUCAUGUUAACAUACCCAUAUUUCAAUUUUCCAAAUCAUAAAGAAUAAACAAAUAUUAGUUUGCUGAGCAGAAAAUGUUCCAGACAAUCUACACUUUUGUUCAUUUCUCAAAAGCAUUAUAUAUGAAGUGCAUGUUACCUAACACAGCCUGUGCAGUAAGCCGCCGCUUCGGAUCAAAUAUACUGACCUUGUUUGUGUCCACAUCAUGCAUAAUUGCAUCAAUGACUUCAUUGUUCACACCAACCUCAUUAGAUAGGGCUUUACGCAACUCCUCGAUUUCAAUAUAACCACUUUGAUCCUCAUCAAAAUAUUGGAAGGCUUUGUGAAGGUGCUCUUCAUUUCCCAUCUUUCUCAUAUGAACGGAAAUGGUUACAAACUCUCCGUAAUCUAGGUACCCAUCAUUAUCUACA
rnacentral:lncRNA from 1 species